GAGCGAAAGCGCGGCUAGGUUUUUUCUCACUUGGAUCUUUCUAUGGCUCAACAGGGACUCCUCUCUAGGUCGCCGCCGAGCGCCAGAGCUGGAUUCGUCGCGCCUCGCCAGAGAAUCGAAAUUCCAGCCAGAGCGAGCUUCGGGAGGACAAUGCGGCAGUGCGCGCCACUGAUUUCGCUCAUCCAUCCCAGGGCCAGCGCUUCUCUCGGGAUCGUGGAAGGUGGUGUCAAGGACGAGAGCGAGAAUUUGACCCUGGAUGCCAUCCGGGACUCGUUGAUCCAACAAGAGGAUAAUAUUAUCUUUAGCUUGAUCGAGCGAGCGCAGUACAAGAUGAAUACGCGGACGUAUGAUCCUAACAGGUUUCGCAUUCCUGGCUUUGAUGGCUCACUGGUGGAGUUCAUGCUCAAAGAAACCGAGUGCCUCCAUGCCAAGGUUCGAAGAUACUGCGCCCCUGAUGAACACGCUUUUUUCCCAGAUGAUUUGCCGGAGCCUAUACUUCCUCCACUCGAGUAUCCCAAGGUGCUCCAUCAAGCGGCCAAAGCCGUCAACAUUAACACCAGGAUCUGGAAAAUGUACUAUAGCAACUUGCUGCCUUCCUUUGUAUCUGACGGGGAUGAUGGCAAUUAUGGCUCAACAGCGGUCUGUGACGUGAAGUGUCUCCAGGCCCUCUCGAAGAGAAUACACUACGGGAAGUUCGUUGCCGAGGCCAAGUUUCGUGAGUCACCACAUCUAUUCGAACCUCAUAUCCGAGCACAGGACCCGCAAGAAUUAAUGAAGCUGGUCACGUUUGAGAGCGUAGAGGCGAGCGUGCAAAAGCGCGUGGAGCACAAAGCAAGAACUUACGGGCAAGAGAUUGACGCAAAUGGAACCAAGCCGACUCCACUUUACAAAGUAGAACCCAAGCUCGUUGCUCGCCUCUACGGAGAUUGGGUGAUGCCUUUGACAAAGGACGUCCAAGUCGAAUACCUUCUGCGACGUCUCGAUUGACCAAAACCAUCUCUGAUCUCAUAGCUUGACGGCACAUCUCUCUGAGCAAGUUAGUUGAAUCAUAUAUUUUUUGUGUGAUAUUAUGAUUAUUGUUACCAACAGAAGUGAUUCAAACAGAAAUUCUUUCUUGUGCCCGUGUUCACUGGCAACGCGAGGCAGCGUUGCGGUUUCUGCGUCAACAUCCAAGUUUGUCAACUUCUGCAAGGUGACCACCAGAUUUUUAUAAGUUUGUUCUAACACACGCGGGCCUCUGGUACGAAGAAACAGGCCAAAAUUUUCUCACACUCGUCGGCGUCUGUCAAUUUUGCAUUGGAUCCAACCGACGCGCAGUCUACACUGCUCAACUUGAAAGGCUGGAUGCAACAGCUGGUUUCGUCGUGGAACGUAAGCUUUCGUUUCUAUGUACGCAUUUGAUCAGCACUAAACAUUCUAUCAGCUGGAAAUCCUGGAUGUAUCCUGAUUCCUGCCGCGUGUAACUGGACCGAUGGUUUGGAGCUCAAACUGUUUCACCUCAUCAGCCAAGGUGCUCAAUUUAUCGUCGUAUAGGUACGGGACUUUGUUGAGCCACACUUUGGAGGUCCUGUUCUUGGGAACCUUGACAAACUCUCGGCAAUUUUCCUGGUGCUCGGUGAUGGUGUUGUGGAAGUGGAAGUAGGAAAUCUGGCCUCUCGAGUAGAGGCUCUUCCCUCUUACGUUCUCCGAGAGAUGGACUCCUGCUGAAUCCGCCAGCGGCGCUCGCAGCACGUACUUUCGAUCGAGACGCACCGAUUUUUGGACGUUGAUGAAAACAAGCUUCUCGAAUCCCCAUUGCCUGGAAGAAGAUCAAGCGAUCGUAAGAACUUGAAGGACGAUCUAGGAUCAAAGAGAACUCUGGAAACUUGAAAGCUCUAAACGAUCUUUCUACGUCUACGACCAGAGAGACGAUCUUUCUACGAAUUUUUUCUGCGAUGAGAGGGAGAGAGGUUCUCACCUGGAUCUGUCCGUACGAUUGCUAUUUACACACACAUUGUGGCC